UUGGAAGCUGUGCUCAGUUUAGAAGCCGCUGGUGAAAGGAAGCCAGAUCAGUGCUGGGAUCUAAGCAGCCCCCCACCUGGGCUUCAGUACACUUAAGUGCUUGCCUAACCUGCACAGCCAGGGGUGGAAACCACCCUGCCAGUUUGUAAGAUGACCUGGGGAAUCUAGAAAGGUCUGCUGUCUCAAAUCCAUCACCUGAUGUCAAAGUGGGAUUACAUCCCCUUGCUUACAGCACACCCACACCAGCUGUAGAUCUGCAGAGAAGCUGUGAAUGGGAGCUGAAAUUUGGAAGUGCAACCCCUGCACCCAGAAGGCAUUUGUUAGUCCUUGCAGCCAUGAAGAUAGGAGCCUGCAAAAUACUGAAUGAUUCCACACAGGUCAGGAGCUCCUUUUUCGUUCUAUCUUCUAGCAGACGAACAAGAAGAUACCUGAGGAAAUAAAAAGCUGGUGAAGACUGCCUGAAAGAAAAUUCUGUGGGAGGUUUAUUUUGUCACUGACAAUGUUGUGUCUGUUUCUUCAGAAAAAAUGGAAAACUUCAGUUUGCAGCAUCUUCCACUGGAAGUAACUUACCGUCUGAGUUAAUACUCAGAAAUGGAAACACUCUACUGGGAUUCUUAUUCAUAUUCUCAACUAUGACUGUCUGCUUGCAGUUUCUUGUUACAUGAACACUUACAUUUUUCAUGUAUUGCUCAGACUUUAUACCUUAUGAAUAUGAACAAGAAAUUGGCAAAAACUCACAUCUCUUAUAAUAAAAUUCAA